rnacentral:rRNA from 1 species
UACGUAGGCAGCAAGCGUUGUUCGGAAUUACUGGGCGUACAGAGUGUGUAGGCGGUGCUCUAAGUUCGGUGUGAAAUCUCCCGGCUUAACUGGGAGGGUGCGCCGGAAACUGGAGUGCUCGAGCGUGGGAGAGGAAAGCGGAAUUCCUGGUGUAGCGGUGAAAUGCGUAGAUAUCAGGAGGAACACCUGCGGUGUAGACGGCUUUCUGGACCAUUGCUGACGCUGGGACACGAAAGCGUGGGUAGCAAACAGG